GGUGGCUCAAUGGUAGAGCUCUUGCCUUGCAUGCAUGAGGCCCUGGGUUCGAUUCCUCAGUACCA
rnacentral:tRNA from 1 species